ACAGGUUCCCGUCCCCUCCAUUAACAGCUAUGCACCCUCCCCAGCCAGGAUAUUAAAUCAGAAUAAUUGAGGCUAGGAACUCAAAAGCAAGUUUUUACAGUCAAUGGAGUCAUCGGGAUCUGAAUAUCAUUUGCAUUUGACUGUGGACGGAGAAAGGAUGAGGCUGUCACUGGCUCG